GCUUGGGUUGCCAAGGUUGUAUC
rnacentral:siRNA from 1 species